rnacentral:lncRNA from 1 species
AGACCUGCUAAUCCAGGGGAUCUGAUGUGCUCUCUGCAAGGCCAGCAGAUGUGUCUCUCUCACUUAGGGAGAAAAUAACUGGUUGCUGCAGCAGCAAGAAAGCAACCAGCUCUGUGCAGCUACCUGGUCACUCCUUUUAUUUUAAAUAACCUCAUUUCUUUUAAAAAAUUGAUCAGAAUUGAGAUACAGCUUAUGAUAAUGGCUAUCUUUCCAUCAGGCUGUGUUCACUGUUGUUUUCCAGCUCCUCAACCUCUCUUUAUGUGCUGUGUGAGCCAGUUCCUCCUGCAGGAGAAGAGAGGGAUCUUUGAAGCACAGAGAGCAGAAAACAGAAGUGUAAGAACUGAGGCCCAGGUUCCAUGGCACCAACUCCCCAGAUUCUAAUAGUAAAAUAAAUAGAGAAAAAAUUAAACAGCUGUUGAGCUGAAUGAAGAAAUGGGAGGCUCCAGUUCCUCUCCUUUCCAUGGGCUAUGGACAGACAGACACUUGCAGUGCCUGGUGCCAGUCUCCUUGUCACCGAGCUCAACAGCCUGGGUUCUUGGGAUGGAAUUCACUCUGAGUGGAUUGGCUCUUCGCUUUCUAAUGCUGGAGGCAUCUCUGGGUUUGUCUUGGAGUUUCUUCAAAGCUCCAGGCACACCAUUGCUCAGGAGUGCCUGUUCUGGCACUGGGCACCAUGCCAGCAGUGGGAAUUCUGGAGAAGACCAGCACAAUUAAAGAUGAGCUCAGUGCCCCCCUUUGGCACAGCAGUUUUAAGAGAUAACUCAGAGAUGUCUUGUUGCUGCUCAUCAUCAAUUAAGAUGAAGUCAACUCCCCACUGCAGAAGACCACCAUUAAUCAACAUUUUAAGUGAAUGAGCACUAUUUAUAAGUGAUCACCGCUGAAUCGUUCAGCCUCUGGCAACGCCGGCAUCUGACCAGCGGUGGGUAAACAGCAGAACCCGUCAUACAAUGUGAGUCACAAACUUCCAUUUACAAAAUAUGUUUACCCCACUAUGUGCUUGGCCAUGAAUGCUACCUUCUUUUUUGUCUCCAGGUCUGGAUUUCCCCUCCAAAGGGUCCUGGAGAGCCCCGGGAGCUCCAGCGCUUCCCGCGUACGUGCGUGCACGCACACACACACAAACGUGGACACAGAGCCUCCCACCUUCCCACUGGGACCUGGGUUAGCAAGUUAUAAAUCCAAACCCAUCCCAAGGAAGGAGGUCUGGGCAGCAUGGCAGUCCAGCUUCGUGCUGCCUAUGGCUCCAAGACUUUGGCAUUAAAGCAGCAAGGGGGGAUCGGUGGUUCGGGUUUAUUCUUUAAAAAAACAGUUGGUUUUAAAACAGGUUUAUUCUUUCAAAUUAAACAGUUGAACACCGAGGUCUGGACUACCCCAACAAGUUAAAGGCUGAUCCAGCUGAUGAAAACACAAUGCCCUGAUAAUCUCCUCUUUUGUGGCACUCAGGUGUGUUGAGGUCUGAAACUGAAGGUUUUCUGCUGAUGCCCACUCCUCUCCUGCCAGCACAACCCCAAAAUCCUCAUUUCCACCUGACACAUUGCAAAAACCUCUGGGUUACUCCCAUCCUAGCAAGUGGCCAGGAUGGGAACUCCAAAUGUGCCUCCUCCCUGCCCCCCAUAUAUUUGCCCACCCUGAACCACCUUGAAGUGACGUGGAUAUUUCCAACAGAAUUGAAGCUGGGCUCCUGUCCACACCAAUCCAGCACUGGAAUAAACACAUCCCUUGAAUGGAGUCA